rnacentral:rRNA from 1 species
UAAGCGGAGGAAAAGAAACUAACAAGGAUUCCCCUAGUAACGGCGAGUGAAGCGGGAAGAGCUCAAAUUUGUAAUCUGGCACUUUCAGUGUCCGAGUUGUAAUCUCGAGAAGUAUUUUCCGCGCCGGACCGCAUACAAGUCUGUUGGAAUACAGCGUCAUAGUGGUGAGAACCCCGUAACUGAUGCGGAUGCCCGGUGCUUUGUGAUAUACUUUCGAAGAGUCGAGUUGUUUGGGAAUGCAGCUCAAAUUGGGUGGUAAAUUCCAUCUAAAGCUAAAUAUUGGAGCAAGACCGAUAGCGAACAAGUACCGUGAGGGAAAGAUGAAAAGCACUUUGGAAAGAGAGUUAACAGUACGUGAAAUUGUUGGAAGGGAAACGCUUGAAGUCAGACUUGCUAUUCGGAGUUCAGCCGCAAGGUGUAUUCUUCGAUUCGCAGGCCAGCAUCAGUUUUCGGGGGUGGAAAAUCGCGGUUUGAAGGUAGCAACUUCGGUUGUGUUAUAGCUUUCCGCUGGAUUCAUCCUUGGGGACUGAGGAACGCAGUACGCUUUUUGCAAGGCUCUCGAGCUUUUCGUACUUAGGAUGCUGGUGGAAUGGCUUUAAACGACCCGUCUUGAAACACG